rnacentral:lncRNA from 1 species
CAAUUAAUGAUUGUCAAUACCUAUUGAUCAAUUAAUUUCAUUGAAAUAAUGUCUCCUGGGUCCGUACAUGCAUUACUUGUAAAGAUGAAUCACAUCAUCAUCAUAAAAUAAUUGUAAGUAACUGUCUAUUCCAGCAUUUCUAAAGUCUGUCAUUUUUUGUGAAACGCCAAACACAUCAUGUGAUGAAGCUUAAGAUUGCCAAACUUUUUUCGACAAAAUAAAGUAAUCAUUCCAACACUAACUUGAAACUUCAUACAACUUUUUAUCAUUGCAAAGGGCAACUAUAAGAUUUGCAAACUAAGCCCACAAGAGCAAUGUUCAUCGGAAAAAAACAGCAGUAAAUCUAAAUCUUGAUGAUGGGCAUAUCAGUUUUGUCUCAUGUAGCAAACAGAAACGAACAAAAGCAAGUGAUGAAACAAAGUACCAAAUUUAGGACAUCUUAUCUAAUUAUUACGGGAAACUUUAGAUAAAUACAUAUGCAGAUGGAGCCCUUAAGCAAAAGAAAGUGAGUUCCCGAUACAUAUCAAUCAAAAGAAGAAGAAAGAUACAAAAACAAUGAACUGUUUGGCCAAAACAGAUGAUCAGUCAUAGGAAAGGAAACAUAAGAAUAAGCCUAGCUUACCUACUGAUGGAUAAAAUUGCUCAAGUCUCUCAAUCAUAUGGACCCUCCACAAGUUCACAGUAUUUUGUGAUUUCUGUAAUUAGCAAUGGAGUGAGAAAGUUAUUGUUAAAUAGUUACAAGCUUCCCCUGAUAACACAGGAAAUAGAAGCCAGCUUUAUGGAGAGACUGUGCAGAGAAGUAAUAUGGAAGCAGAUACAAAAUGCCAAAACCCAGUUGGAUUCUGCAAAUUUUACAGGAAAAAAGCUGCCCUCGGUUGGUGACUGCACACAGAACUGACCGUGUGAAAAUUAAAG